CCAGUGCCCAGUUCCCUUUAAAUUGUUUCAACUUUGACACAAAAUUUGCCCCUCGUUUUACAGAUGCUGUCUCACUGAAGACUGGAAUUCUUUGCCGAUUAUCUCCCAUCGACGUGAAGGUGCGUUCCAUUGGGAAUGACUGACAUCACACAUUUUCCUAAAAAGACUCAAAUGGCCAGCAGGACCUAAAACUAUUCUGUCUGAAUAGAUUAUUGUAUGAUACAUUCAUCGUUUUUUUGUAACAAAGUGUAUAUUUUUGUACUGAAUCUAUGUUAAUACCUCAUGCUUAGCAAUUCAAAAAUACCUCAAUAAUGACAGUCAAACUCAAGAACAUUGCGUCAGUGUUUGCAACAACAACACAAAAGGUGCAGUGUCUGUUUGUGGUCUUUAAAACAUGCUUUCUGCCCAUUGAAACAAGGCAAAAUGGGAAACUUCUGUUCUUUUAAUAAAAUUGUUGAAAACAAAUCAAUUCAUGAAUAGUAAUAAUAAUACAAAAGAAAUGUACUCACAAUUGAAUGGGAAGCCCUUAUACUUGGACUGAAACAAGAACAUUUACAUUGUAUAGUACUGCUUCCAGUGAUGGCCCAUUCCAGUCAAAAGGAACAGAGUAAGGUAUUGCAUUUCAUCACACAAAUGUACUCUAUAAUUCAUUAUGCUGGAGACAGUACUGGCAACAAUUAAAAAAAUUGACCUAUUGAGUGAGUCAACUUUUGCAUGGUUAUAAAUAUGCUAUUGACAUGAAACCACCAGCAUCCAAGUGGUAAAAAAAAAAUGUUUUAAAAAAUUAUAAAAAAAGUUACAAAAUUUAAAACACUAAAAAAUUCUAACAUGAAAAUAGCGAUUCCAGAUCACCAAAAUAUUUAGACAAUUCACAUAUUUCUUUUCACCAUAACACUAAACUCAUGCAAUAAAAAAAUGGGGUUGUUGGGUUAGUAACAAUUGUGUCAUCUUCCCGACAAGUUUGUUACUCAACGUUUUCCCAAAACAAAGUCACUAUUCCAGUAUCUAUAAUAUCCCUCGAACAUGACUUUGGUUUCCCAACCAUCCUUAUCAAAGGUUCAUCGUUAGGGCCGUUUGUGACUUAUUUUCCUUCUCUGCCAUAGUUUCUGGUGAAGAAUGAGGGGGAUUCGUGACCAUCUUUAUCAAGAGUUCAUCAUCGGAGUUCUCCUUAUCCCCUGAGGGGUUCCCACCUGUGAAUUUGUUGUUUGUCUUCUUGAUGCCAUUACCUGUUCCUCUUUUGCUAUUAGUAUUCCCUGGCCUCUUUGCUUGUACAGUGGAUUUUUUAGCGCUGGGAAGUUUAUUCACCAACUUCGUCAAAGGCUCAUCAUCUGAGGUGUCAUCCAACCC
rnacentral:lncRNA from 1 species